GAUUGUUCAGUGGUUUCUGGACAUGGUUGCUGUUGCUAGGUGAAACUGGUCACGAAGAGGGGCAGGAAGGUACAAUGCUGCCUGACACACGGGCCACAGUAAGUGAUGGAAUGUGCUGCACUUCAUAUCUGAUUCUGCUGUGGGUACGGAGCAGAGAACAUGCAGGAAAAGGCAGCAGACGCUACCAAGAGACCAGAGAGCAACAUCGGGACAUGGCCCAGAUGGGCAUCAAGGGAAAUAGUUUCCAGCCAAGACAUUAAGUGUGCACAUACUGGCAAAGAAACAAGAGCACAGUCUAGCCUGCACUAUGUGUUGUGUGGAGUAAACAAAAGAAGCAGCAAUGAGCAUCCAGAGUAGGCGCAAGGUUAUUCUUUUUUAAGCCAUAACAAAAAAGGCUAAAAAUGAGGGAAGGUGUAAGGCAACCACUGGGUGUUGGAGUGGUUUCAUAAAGGAACUGAGAUGGCGCUCUGCUAUUGACACACUGCUGAGUGUACUUGGGAAGAUUUAAUAACCUCUUAUCUUAUCAGUUUAACCCAGUGCGCACCUGAAAGUUAGAACAGCAAAGUCAACCAUUAAACUGUGCCUCGAAGCUACGUGGACGUCGAUGUAUAUUAAAUAAGCAGUAGAUGUUUCCUGCUGCUAACAGAAAGGGAUUGGUUCUAAUUUUUCCUGUUUAAUUGUGUAAAUAAAGAUCGGGUGUGCGCACUUGUGA